CCUGCCUGGCAGCCUGAAAAUCCCCGCCAGCUACAUGUCUGUGGCCUCUUUUGCAGAGAAACACAAGGUCAUGAGGUGGCAAGGCUGAAGGACCAACUGCCAGGACAGAGAACAAAGAGAAGGAGAAACCAAGAGGAGUGCCAUACAACUCCUGGCCUAAAGGCUGACGAUGAGCCAUCAGCCAUGGGAAGGUGGACCAGGGUGGGGUGUGAAUCUUUAGAAGCUGCUGAAUGAGGUGUAAGCAGUGGCCUGUCCUCGUAACUGUGGGCUUUGUGGACUACGAUCUUGAAGAGAAAGAGUGCUGUCAACUCAGAAGGAGUUUCAGACUAGAAGCCUCUUGGCAGGCCGAGAGCUCUAUUCUCUGUUGAAGUAUCUGAUCACUGGCAGUUUCAUUCCCUCUUCGUUUCCCUUUUGACUCUUGAACAUAAGGGAUUGAGCACAAACUGGCAGUGAAUGAUAUCCCUCCCAACUCCGGGUGAUUAUGUGCGUUAAUAAUGAUGAGCGUGUCUAUGUAAUAUUUGCAUGAAAAACUGUAGACAUCUGGUGGCGUAUGCUGGUGUGUGUGGUGUUUGUUGGGAAACAGAAGCAAAAGCUAAAUGCUGAUGAAACGUGAAAUCUAACCGUUCUGACUAAGACUAAAAAUAAAGUCGGCAGGCUUUCUGGGUUUUUGCACGCCAGCAGUUUUGAACCACUCACACCCGCUACUAGGUUAGGUUACCGUGGAAACGCUCCGCUGUGCAUAUACAGCAAACGGAGUACACAGUUCGUGGGCCUGGACCCUGGGGGUCCUAUUACAGAAUUUUGUAUGUUUAGAAAUAUUUUGUAAUAAGGCCCCUGGCGUCACUUAUUAGUAAUGAAAUGUGCAACUGCCUCCAUCCUCAUCAACAACAAAUUUGUUUCUUAUGGAAAUGAAUCGUCAUGCUUUCAGCCAAAUGCAUACCCUGAAAAUUAAAAGACAGGCUGUGCAGGAAGUGAUGGGUCCAGGCUCCAGUGUGAUGUUCAGUACACAGCGGGACAAAACUGCAAAAUUCGGAAGGAUUAUCUUCAGCGUUUGCCUUAAGCCUCCAUUAAAAGUUUAGCAGCACUUUACGAGCUCAAAGAAACCUCCACAGCAGUCUCUACAAAGCUGUUCCAACUACUUCUUUUCUGUUUACAUGAAAGACAGUGAACUCACUGGUGAUCUUAAUACAUACAUCAAUUAAUUUAAUUGACUUAAGGGUUGUUCUUACAUAAAAUGCUACUCUUUGGAUUGUUUUAGAAGAUAUCAAUUUGUCAUUAAAAAAGAAAAUACUGUACAGUAGCUUUUAAAUAUUUUUGUUCUGACUCCUUUAAUGUCUGUUUUGCUAAAUGCUUAGCCACAAAAGCCUGGGUUGAAUAAGGGCUUCUUUGCUAAAAUAAAAAUAAUCUAAAAUGUAGAUGUGUCUAGAACUAUCAUGAAAGUGUAAAUUAAUUAGCCACACUGAACCUCAAUCAGUAGUGUCUCUAAAUUCAUCUUUCUUUUAUGCCAUUCUCUUUUCUAAAACAUAUUUCACUUGAAAGUAGCCAUUCUGGUUACUAGUUCUCUUUUUUGAGCCAAAGUCACAGUCAGUAAGAAAUUCUUGUGGUUUGUUUUUUUUUUUUUUACUAUUGUAGUUAAUAAUUCAUUAAUAAAUAUUGGAAUUUGGACUUUGUGCCAGGGGCCAUGCUAAGGGCUAACUGCCAAAGGUGAAGAUAUGAAAAUAAAUAAGAGAUUAUCCUUAUACUAAGAGGGUCCACUUUCUUUUGGGGAAAUAUUAAAAUAUGUAUGGAAAAGUUACAUUAUACAAUAUCAAACAACGAGCAAUGUCAUGAAGCAGGUAGUAUUCAGCACCAAACUAUAACUACAAAUAGAGUUAUGUAGAGGUAGUACUUCAUGCUGUGUGACAGAAGAGCCUGAGAAGAAUUUCUGAAUGGAAAGGGAUGGAAUAACAGUGUCUUGUGUGUCUGUGUUCCAUGGUAAAACUUUAUACAUCUUUUUACCAGCUUCAUGAAGGUAUUUAUAGAAUGUAAAAUUCACUUGUUUUAGCUGUACAAGUCAAUGGUUUUUAAGUCAAUAUGCACAGUUGUGUAACCAGCAUCAUAAUAAAAUUUUAUAACAUUUUCAUCACCUUACAAGACUCUCUCAAUUUUCAAUUAAUUAUUGUUUCUAUUCCCUGCCCUGUACCAC
ensembl:lincRNA uncharacterized LOC102020722